rnacentral:lncRNA from 1 species
GUUUCUUUAAUGGACAUGCUGAGUGACUGCUCUUUUUCCUGAAGGCUCUUUAUUGUCCCUGGAAGAUCCAAACUGAAUGGAAUUUGACAGGAGGAUGUUAAAGUGUCAUCCACAGCCUUGGUUAUUUCCUGUAGCUCUCUCAAAGAAACACAGCCAAGUAAAGCAGUCAGUUCACAGUCCUGUGACUGAAUAAGCCUAUCUUGUUCUUCAAUUUCUCUUUGUAGCUGUUGAUCUUUUUCUUCUAACACAGACAGUCUCACUCGGAGGUCUUCAAUUUCUUUCUGUAAACAUUUCUUUUCUUGUGAAAGGUCAUUUCGUUUCAUGGCCAAAACCUGUAUCCUCUCCUGGUAAGUGGAUCUCAACAGUUUAUGUCUGUUUUCAUGCCAAAGUUGGGUUUCUUC